rnacentral:rRNA from 1 species
UACGUAGGGGGCAAGCGUUGUCCGGAUUUAUUGGGCGUAAAGAGCUCGUAGGCGGUUUGGUAAGUCAGGUGUGAAAUCUCCACGCUCAACGUGGAGGGGCCACCUGAUGCUGCCAUGACUGGAGUCCGGUAGAGGAGUGUGGAAUUCCCGGUGUAGCGGUGAAAUGCGCAGAUAUCGGGAGGAACACCCGUAGCGAAGGCGGCACUCUGGGCCGGUACUGACGCUGAGGAGCGAAAAGCGUGGGGAGCAAACAGGG